rnacentral:rRNA from 1 species
GAUGAACGCUAGCGGCAGGCCUAAUACAUGCAAGCCGAACGGCAAGUUGAGUAGCAAUACUUGACCUAGAGUGGCGUAAGGGUGCGUAACACGUAUGCAAUCUACCCGCAACAGGAGGAUAGCUCUCCGAAAGGGGAAUUAAGCCUCCAUGGGAUCAUGGGGUGGCAUCACUCCAUGAUUAAACUACCAGGGGUUGUGGAUGAGCAUGCGCAUGAUUAGUUAGUUGGCGGGUAACGCCCACCAAGACGAUGAUCAUUAGGGGAACUGAGAGGUUGA